rnacentral:rRNA from 1 species
ACCUGGUUGAUCCUGCCAGUAGUCAUAUGCUUGUCUCAAAGAUUAAGCCAUGCAUGUCUCAGUGCACGCCUUUAUACGGUGAAACCGCGAAUGGCUCAUUAAAUCAGCUAUGGUUUACUGGACCGUACCCGUUAAAUGGAUAACUGUAAUAACUCUAGAGCUAAUACAUGCAACUAUGCCCUGAACCGAAAGGCAAGGGGUGCACUUAUUAGAUCAGAAGCUAACCGGGCGUCGGUCGCAAGGCCGGCGUCUGUUGUCGUUCUGGUGACUCUGGAUAAUUGUUACAGAUCGCAGUCGGCCAUGAGUCGGCGACGGGUCCUCCAAAUGUCUGCCCUAUCAACUUUCGAUGGUAGGUGACCUGCCUACCAUGGUGAUAACGGGUAACGGGGAAUCAGGGUUCGAUUCCGGAGAGGGAGCCUGAGAAACGGCUACCACUUCCAAGGGAGGCAGCAGGCGCGCAAAUUACCCACUCCCAGCACGGGGAGGUGGUGACGAAAAAUACCGAUGCGGGACUCCCAAACGAGGCUCCGUAAUCGGAAUGAGUCAACUAUAAAUCCUUUAACGAGGAUCAAUUGGAGGGCAAGUCUGGUGCCAGCAGCCGCGGUAACUCCAGCUCCAAUAGCGUAUAUUAAAGUUGCUGCAGUUAAAAAGCUCGUAGUUGGAUCUCGGUAUUAUUGUUGCCUGCUGGCUUUAGAGGCACUAGCUGGCCUAGCGGUGCAUGGGUGAGCCUGUGCAGCGUGGGGUCGGCGGCCUUGGGUCGGCGUGGCGGCGGUGAUACCUUUCAGCCAUGUCUGUGGUGCAAUAUCCACAGGUGUAGGCGAGUGCCAGGCGGUGCCCUGCAACUGUGGGGUUCGUCGGCUUGUCUGCAUGCCUACGGAUGCCCUUUAAAAGGUGUCUGUGGGCGGAUGGCACGUUUACUUUGAACAAAUUUGAGUGCUCAAACCAGGCCGAUGCUGCCUGAAAAGUUUUGCAUGGAAUAAUGGAAUAGGACUUCGGUUCUAUUUCGUUGGUUUUCGGAUCCGAAGUAAUGAUCAAAAGAGACAGGCGGGGACGUUUGUAUGGCUGCGCUAGAGGUGAAAUUCUUGGACCGUAGCCAGACAAACUAAAGCGAAAGCAUUCGUCAAGCAUGUUUUCAUUGGCCAUGAGCGAAAGUCAGAGGCUCGAAGACGAUCAGAUACCGUCCUAGUUCUGACCAUAAACGAUGCCAACUGACGAUCCGUGAUGGUAGCAUUCAAACCUUCCUCACGGGCAGUCCCCGGGAAACCAUUAAGUCUUUGGGUUCCGGGGGAAGUAUGGUUGCAAAGCUGAAACUUAAAGGAAUUGACGGAAGGGCACCACCAGGAGUGGAGCCUGCGGCUUAAUUUGACUCAACACGGGAAAACUCACCCGGGCCGGACACUAUGAGGAUUGACAGAUUGAAAGCUCUUUCUUGAUUUGGUGGUUGGUGGUGCAUGGCCGUUCUUAGUUGGUGGAGCGAUUUGUCUGGUUAAUUCCGAUAACGAACGAGACUCCAGCCUGCUAAUUAGUUCUCCUGUCCACUGUACUUGUGCAGGCGGGCGCUCGCCAAAUCUGCCCUUCACGGUUGACCCGGUGGUGCGUGUGGUGGUCUUGUUGUUGUUGUUGUUGUUGGUCGCUUAGCUGCUGUUGCUGCUGCUGCUGCUGCUGCUGCUGCCGUGUAGUGUUGCCCGCAAGGACAGCGCUUGGUGGCGGUGGCGGUGGCGGUGGCUGUGGUGGUGGUGGUUGGCUGAUGACGACGAGGAUGAUGAUCAUCAAGCGUGUCCGCUUGGCUGGCUUGGGUGGAUAGAGCAGUGUCUGCUUCCGAGUACGGCGCGGGUGUCUACUUCUUAGAGGGACAAGCGGGAGAAGCCGCACGAAAUUGAGCAAUAACAGGUCUGUGAUGCCCUUAGAUGUCCGGGGCCGCACGCGCGCUACAAUGACGGUGGCAACGAGUCUGACUUUCUGGCCCGAAAGGGUUGGGUAAACUGGUCAAUCACCGUCAUGACAGGGAUCGGGGCUUGGAAUUGUUCCCCGUGAACGAGGAAUUCCUAGUAAGUGCAAGUCAUAAGCUUGCGCUGAUUACGUCCCUGCCCUUUGUACACACCGCCCGUCGCUACUACCGAUUGAAUGGUUUAGUAAGGUCCUUGGAUUGGCGCCAUUGCAGCCGCAGGGCUCAGGCGGUGCUGAGAAGACGACCGAACUUGAUCAUUUAGAGGAAGUAAAAGUCGUAACAAGGUUUCCGUAGGUGAACCUGCGGAAGGAUCAUUA